UACGUAGGGACCAAGCGUUGUUCGGAUUUACUGGGCGUAAAGGGCGCGUAGGCGGCUUGACACGUCACUUGUGAAAUCUCUGGGCUUAACCCAGAACGGCCAAGUGAUACUGUCGUGCUAGAGUGCGGAAGGGGCAAUCGGAAUUCUCGGUGUAGCGGUGAAAUGCGUAGAUAUCGAGAGGAACACCUGAGGUGAAGACGGGUUGCUGGGCCGACACUGACGCUGAGUGCGCGAAAGCCAGGGGAGCAAACGGG
rnacentral:rRNA from 1 species